rnacentral:tRNA from 1 species
GGCUCUGUGGCGCAAUGGAUAACGCAUUGGACUUCUAAUUCAAAGAUUGUGGGUUCGAGUCCCACCAGAGUCG